rnacentral:rRNA from 1 species
GGCAUGGAUUAGGCAUGCAAGUCGAACGAGAAAGCUCCCUUCGGGGAGUGAGUAAAGUGGCGAACGGGAGAGUAACGCGUGGGGAACCUGCCCUUCAGCGGGGGACAACAGUUCUAACGAGCUGCUAAUACCGCAUACGACCUGGCGACCGCAUGAUCACCAGGUGAAAGAUGGCCUCUGCUUGCAAGCUGUCACUGAAGGAUGGUCCCGCGUUCCAUUAGUUUGUUGGUGGGGUAAUGGCCUACCAAGACUACGAUGGGUAGCCGGCCUGAGAGGGUGUCCGGCCUCACUGGGACUGAGAUACGGCCCAGACUCCUACGGGAGGCAGCAGUCGAGAAGCUUCGGCAAUGGACGAAAGUCUGACCGAGCGACGCCGCGUGAGCGAUGAAGGCCCUAGUGGUCGUAAAGCUCUGUCAGGAGGGAAUAAAUGCCUGUGGUGAAUACCCGCAGGAGUUGAAGGUACCUCCAGAGGAAGCGCCGGCUAACUACGUGCCAGCAGCCGCGGUAAUACGUAGGGCGCAAACGUUGUUCGGAUUUACUGGGUUUAAAGGGUUCGUAGGCGGGCUGAUAAGUCAGAGGUGAAAGCCAACGGCUCAACCGUUGAAUGGCCUCUGAUACUGUCAGUCUUGAGUCCGUUAGGGGAUAGUGGAAUUCCUGGUGUAGCGGUGAAAUGCGUAAAUAUCAGGAGGAACACCAGUGGCGAAGGCGGCUAUCUGGGACGGAACUGACGCUGAGGAACGAAAGCUAGGGUAUCAAACGGGAUUAGAUACCCCGGUAGUCCUAGCUGUAAACGAUGGGCACUGGGUGUUGGAGGAGUCUACCCCUUCAGUGCCGCAGCUUAACGCAUUAAGUGCCCCACCUGGGGAGUACGAUCGCAAGGUUGAAACUCAAAGGAAUUGACGGGGGCUCACACAAGCGGUGG